UACGGAGGGAGCUAGCGUUGUUCGGAAUUACUGGGCGUAAAGCGCGCGUAGGCGGCUUUGUAAGUUAGAGGUGAAAGCCCGGGGCUCAACUCCGGAACUGCCUUUAAGACUGCAUCGCUUGAAUCCGGGAGAAGGUGAGUGGAAUUCCGGAGUGUAGAGGUGAAAUUCGUAGAUAUCGGAAGAACACCAGUGGCGAAGGCGGCUCACUGGACCGGUAUUGACGCUGAGGUGCGAAAGCGUGGGGGAGCAAACAGG
rnacentral:rRNA from 1 species